rfam:Gossypium hirsutum cultivar TM-1 unplaced genomic scaffold scaffold104.1, whole genome shotgun sequence
UGUUAAAAAUUUCAUUCAUUUUUACCAUUAAAAACUAGCAUAGCUGACGGAAUAUGCUUCAUGUCGGCGUAUACAGACUAGUUUUUAACGGUAAAAAUGGAUGAAAUUUUUAAUA